UUAUGGAAAAUUCAACAUUAAUAUUGUAAUAUUUAUUUAUAGAUAUUAUGAAAAUAGUGUGCAAUUUUUCCAUAUAAGGACAUUGUAAUCUGUUAAUGUAAUAAUUAUUUAUCAUAAGAUUCAAUAAUAAAAAGUUUAUUUAAAUUAGUUAUUUUCGAAUUUCUAACAUAGAAUAAAUUUAUUGAAUUUGAUAAAUCAUUGACAGAUUUAUUUAUAUAUAAUGCUUAAAUUCUUAAUUGAAUUUUACAAUAAUUUUUAAAUGUAUAUAUAUACAUUUAUUAAUUUUAUUGUAUGCAUUUAUAUGAUUAACAAUGCUAUAGAUUCAGGAUACCUUCGGGACCCGUCUUGAAACACGGACCAAGGAGUCUAACAUAUGUGCAAGUCAUUGGGUAUUUUUAAUAAAACCCAAUGGCAUAAUUAACUUAACUGUUUUUUAUGGGAUUAGUUUAUAUUUUAUUAUGAAAUAUUAAUUCAAUCCCAGGGCGUUCUAUAUAGUUAUGUAUAAUAAUAUUUAUAUUAUUUAUGCCUCUAACUAGAGCGUACCUUCAGCAUAUAUGC
rnacentral:rRNA from 1 species